rnacentral:rRNA from 1 species
GAUGAACGCUGGCGGCGUGCCUAAUACAUGCAAGUCGAGCGAACAGACGAGGAGCUUGCUCCUCUGACGUUAGCGGCGGACGGGUGAGUAACACGUGGAUAACCUACCUAUAAGACUGGGAUAACUUCGGGAAACCGGAGCUAAUACCGGAUAAUAUAUUGAACCGCAUGGAUCAAUAGUGAAAGGCGGUUUUGCUGCCACUUAGAGAUGGAUCCGCGCCGCAUUAGCUAGUUGGUAAGGUAACGGCUUACCAAGGCAACGAUGCGUAGCCGACCUGAGAGGGUGAUCGGCCACACUGGAACUGAGACACGGUCCAGACUCCUACGGGAGGCAGCAGUAGGGAAUCUUCCGCAAUGGGCGAAAGCUUGACGGAGCCACGCCGCGUGAGUGAUGAAGGUCUUCGGAUCGUAAAACUCUGUUAUUAGGGAAGAACAAAUGUGUAAGUAACUAUGCACGUCUUGACGGUACCUAAUCAGAAAGCCACGGCUAACUACGUG